rnacentral:lncRNA from 1 species
CUCUCAACACAAUGGCAGGAGAGCCUGGUAGAUCGGAGCUCCCAUUCUGGGCCAUAAUCCUCAUCUGCCUCUCGGCAUUGCUUGGCUUGAUUCUUCUCCUCCUCGUGUGUUUCUUGAUUGCCUUUUGUCUGAGAAGAAAGGAAGGCUUGUACGACGUCCAACAGAGCAUAUACGGGGUCUAUUUCCCACACCUGGACAUGAGAAAAAUGCAUUGACGAACGUAUUGCCGAGACGAACUCCUU